ACGGGAGGCAGCAGUGGGGAAUAUUGGGCAAUGGAGGAAACUCUGACCCAGCGACGCCGCGUGCGGAAUGAAGGCCUUCGGGUUGUAAACCGCUUUCAGCAGGGAAGAAGCGAAAGUGACGGUACCUGCAGAAGAAGCACCGGCUAACUAUGUGCCAGCAGCCGCGGUAAUACAUAGGGUGCAAGCGUUGUCCGGAAUUAUUGGGCGUAAAGAGCUCGUAGGUGGUUCGUCACGUCGGAUGUGAAACUCUGGGGCUUAACCCCAGACCUGCAUUCGAUACGGGCGAGCUUGAGUAUGGUAGGGGAGUCUGGGAUUCCUGGUGUAGCGGUGGAAUGCGCAGAUAUCAGGAGGAACACCAAUGGCGAAGGCAGGACUCUGGGCCAUUACUGACACUGAGGAGCGAAAGCGUGGGGAGCGAACAGGAUUAGAUACCCUGGUAGUCCACGCCGUAAACGGUGGGCACUAGUUGUGG
rnacentral:rRNA from 1 species